rnacentral:rRNA from 1 species
GAUGAACGCUGGCGGCGUGCCUAAUACAUGCAAGUCGAGCGAACGGACGAGAAGCUUGCUUCUCUGAUGUUAGCGGCGGACGGGUGAGUAACACGUGGAUAACCUACCUAUAAGACUGGGAUAACUUCGGGAGACCGGAGCUAAUACCGGAUAAUAUUUUGAACCGCAUGGUUCAAAAGUGAAAGACGGUCUUGCUGUCACUUAUAGAUGGAUUCGCGCUGCAUUAGCUAGUUGGUAAGGUAACGGCUUACCAAGGCAACGAUGCAUAGCCGACCUGAGAGGGUGAUCGGCCACACUGGAACUGAGACACGGUCCAGACUCCUACGGGAGGCAGCAGUAGGGAAUCUUCCGCAAUGGGCGAAAGCCUGACGGAGCAACGCCGCGUGAGUGAUGAAGGUCUUCGGAUCGUAAAACUCUGUUAUUAGGGAAGAACAUAUGUGUAAGUAACUGUGCACAUCUUGACGGUACCUAAUCAGAAAGCCACGGCUAACUACGUGCCAGCAGCCGCGGUAAUACGUAGGUGGCAAGCGUUAUCCGGAAUUAUUGGGCGUAAAGCGCGCGUAGGCGGUUUUUUAAGUCUGAUGUGAAAGCCCACGGCUCAACCGUGGAGGGUCAUUGGAAACUGGAAAACUUGAGUGCAGAAGAGGAAAGUGGAAUUCCAUGUGUAGCGGUGAAAUGCGCAGAGAUAUGGAGGAACACCAGUGGCGAAGGCGACUUUCUGGUCUGUAGCUGACGCUGAUGUGCGAAAGCGUGGGGAUCAAACAGG